rnacentral:rRNA from 1 species
GUAGGUGGCAAGCGUUGUCCGGAAUUAUUGGGCGUAAAGCGCGCGCAGGUGGUUCUUUAAGUCUGAUGUGAAAGUCCCCGGCUCAACCGGGGAGGGUCAUUGGAAAUUGGGGAACUUGAGUGCAGGAGAGGAAAGUGGAAUUCCACGUGUAGCGGUGAAAUGCGUAGAUAUGUGGAGGAACACCAGUGGCGAAGGCGACUUUCUGGCCUGUAACUGACACUGAGGCGCGAAAGCGUGGGGAGCAAACAGGGAUUAGAUACCCUGGUAGUCCACGCCGUAAACGAUGAGUGCUAAGUGUUGGGGGGGUUUCCCGCCCCUCAGUGCUGCAGCUAACGCAUUAAGCACUCCGCCUGGGGAGUACGGUCGCAAGACUG